rnacentral:rRNA from 1 species
CACGUAGGGACCAAGCGUUGUCCGGAUUCAUUGGGCGUAAAGAGCUCGUAGGCGGUUCGAUAAGUCGGGUGUGAAACCUCCAGGCUCAACCUGGAGACGCCACCCGAUACUGUCGUGACUAGAGUCCAGUAGGGGAGCGUGGAAUUCCUGGUGUAGCGGUGAAAUGCGCAGAUAUCAGGAGGAACACCAGCGGCGAAGGCGGCGCUCUGGGCUGGAACUGACGCUGAGGAGCGAAAGCGUGGGGAUCAAACAGG